rnacentral:rRNA from 1 species
GACAGAGGUGCCAAGCGUUAGGCGGAAUCACUGGGCUUAAAGCGUGUGUAGGCGGAUCGUUAAGUACCUUGUGAAAUCCCACGGCUCAACCGUGGAACUGCUGGGUAUACUGGCGAUCUUGAGCCACCUAGGGGCGAGCGGAACAAGCGGUGGAGCGGUGAAAUGCGUAGAUAUCUGGAGGAACACCGGUGGCGAAGGCGGCAUCCUGGACCAAUUCUGACGCUGAGGAGCGAAAGCCAGGGGAGCAAACGGG